UGGGGAAUAUUGGGCAAUGGGCGCAAGCCUGACCCAGCAACGCCGCGUGAGGGAAGAAGGUCCUCGGAUUGUAAACCUCUGUCCUAUGGGACGAAAAAAAUGACGGUACCAUAGGAGGAAGCUCCGGCUAACUACGUGCCAGCAGCCGCGGUAAUACGUAGGGAGCGAGCGUUGUCCGGAAUUACUGGGCGUAAAGGGUGCGUAGGCGGCAAGGCAAGUCAGGUGUGAAAUCCCCGGGCUUAACUCGGGGGGUGCAUUUGAAACUGCUUUGCUUGAGUACAGGAGAGGAAAGCGGAAUUCCUAGUGUAGCGGUGAAAUGCGUAGAUAUUAGGAGGAACACCAGUGGCGAAGGCGGCUUUCUGGACUGUCACUGACGCUGAGGCACGAAAGCGUGGGGAGCAAACA
rnacentral:rRNA from 1 species